ensembl:lncRNA novel transcript
UUUUUUUUUUUUUUUUUUUGAGACAGUCUCACACUCUUGCCCAAGCUGGUAUAUAGGGGUGUGAUUUUGUCUCAGUGCAGCCUCAACCUCCUGGCUCAAGCAAUCCUCUCGAGUAGCUGGGACUACAGGCAUGAGCCACUACACCCUGCCUAAAGAUAAUAUCUUUAUAUGAAAAAUCAAUGCAAUGUUGAUAAGUCUUUACAUGUUUUU